ACAACGGCGGCUUUUCAGGCCGCAGGUCUUGGAGAAAAGCCAAGCGGGAAUU
rnacentral:tRNA from 2 species